rnacentral:rRNA from 1 species
AACGAACGCUGGCGGCAUGCCUAACACAUGCAAGUCGAACGAGAUCUUCGGGUCUAGUGGCGCACGGGUGCGUAACGCGUGGGAAUCUGCCCUUUGGUUCGGAAUAACAGUUGGAAACGACUGCUAAUACCGGAUGAUGACGAAAGUCCAAAGAUUUAUCGCCAGAGGAUGAGCCCGCGUAGGAUUAGCUAGUUGGUGUGGUAAAGGCGCACCAAGGCGACGAUCCGUAGCUGGUGUGAGAGGAUGAUCAGCCACACUGGGACUGAGACACGGCCCAUGCUCCUACGGGAGGCAGCAGUGGGGAAUAUUGAACAAUGGGCGAAAGCCUGAUCCAGCAAUGCCGCGUGGGUGAUGAAGGCCUUAGGGUUGUAAAGCUCUUUUACGCGGGAUGAUAAUGACAGGACCGAGAGAAUAAGCUCCGCCUAACUCCGUGCCAGCCGCCGCCGUAA